UUUCUUUUCAGUAGCACACACACUAAAAAUGGAACGAUUCAGAGAAAAUUACCAUAGCCCUGGAUAAGGAUGGCAUGUGAAUUUCUCGAGCGCUCCGUGCAUUUU